UACGUAGGGGGCAAGCGUUGUCCGGAAUCAUUGGGCGUAAAGCGCGCGUAGGCGGCCCGAUAAGUCCGCUGUAAAAGUCCAGGGCUCAACCCUGGAAUGCCGGUGGAUACUGUCGGGCUAGAGUCCGGAAGAGGCGAGUGGAAUUCCUGGUGUAGCGGUGGAAUGCGCAGAUAUCAGGAGGAACACCAGCGGCGAAGGCGGCGACCUGGCCCUGACCUGACGCUGAGGCGCGAGAGCGUGGGGAGCGAACGGG
rnacentral:rRNA from 1 species